AAAACUAAAAUGUUUUUUCAUGAAAAUGUGAAAAUAGAAUGUUUUAAAAGUAUCAGAACUUUUCCUAUUUUUCUCCUCCUUGUUUCUUCUUAAGAAGGAAUGCAUCAGGGAAGUAGACACAUUAAUUGACAGACCACAAUUUACAAUCAAGAUGUUUCUCACAAGCUGUGAUAUGAAGAUUUAUUUGCUUUAGUUUGUCUGCCAAUAACAAAUAAAAAAAUAGAAAAAUGCAACUACAUUACUAAACUAUAUUAAUUAACUUAGGCUUUUCAUCUUCAGUCUAUAGAUACAUUUCUGUGGUAGGUUCCAUGCUUAUAUACAGACUUGGAGCUUCCAACUGAUUUCCAGGCAAAAAACCCCAAUUUUCCUUUUUCUAAAUGUCCAGUAGCAUCAUUUGUGGAUUGAAUUUUUACAGUGUUCCUUCCCUUUGGGCUUACUGACCUAAACCUUCACUGAAAAAAAAGGCUAUUUUUCACUGCUAAUAAGUGUUAGUGAUUAAAGAACAUUUCCCAAUUUCUUUCUUGAUAUUUUUUUGCACUGUGUCUCACUCUCUCAUUAGGUAAAUUGGUACUUUAAAAUAAUAAAUGCAAUUUUUAGACAAGAUUGGACUGCAAGAACAGUACAAAAUAUAGCAAUACAAGAGCAAAAAAAAAAAAAAAAAGAGACAAUAACAUUCACCAAAUCAGAAUCUUUUAGGGUUCAGAACUGUUGUAAUGGCUCAAACCCCAGAAUUUGUUAUCCCUGUAAAAUAGUGUCUGUUAGGCAAGACAUUUGUUAAUAGAAAUAAAUAGCAAUAUCUUGACCCAAGAAGCUCUAAAGGCAAAUGAAAUGCCUGUAGAUUGAAGUAGAGCUUUCAUAAACUCCAAAUUCUUGAGCCAGAAAUCCUCCUCCAGUUUUAUUACAAGUGAAUCUGGGAUGUUAUUCCUUCCUUAUAAAGUUGCAGACAUAAAAUACAAGUUGUUUUGUGGGUAUAAAUUAAUAUGUAGUAUGUUGAUAGACAUUUGAUAGCUCUGAAUGAGUAACAAGAAAUAUUUCAAUGAAACAAAGCAUUACUAUCUCAUAAUAGGAGUCUGAAUAGUGAAAAGCCUAAUAUAACAAGGUAAAGAACUUAUUAAAGUAAUAAAUAGAGGGUUAUCUCUCCAAUAUUCAUAAACUAAGUCCUUAACUCAGUCCACAGCAACCAACAUUACAUAGCUAAAUCUUUGAAGGACUUGGAAGACAGAAUACCUUUUGCAGGAUGUGUGUGCAUUUUAUUUGUUGUGGUUUGUAACUCAUUUUUAAUAGAAAAAUAUUACAGAAGGAAGUCAUUCGCUCUAAUACUAAAAGUUGUUUUGGUAGCACAUAAUAGUUAUGAAUGUUAUUACGGAUAACACAGCAGGAAAAUACAUGGAAUCUAGUCAUAAUAGCAGAAGAUGACAGACUUUUUAGUUCUGCUGCUCGGUUUGCCUCUUCAUAUCAAUGUCUACUAUAAUUCCUGUCAAUCUGUUCACCUAUGUUCUGAUUUACACCCAUUGCUAAAUAUGUUCUGCACUCUUGAAAUACCAGUUACGCUUUUUUUGACAAAAAGCUACUUAUUAUCAAUAUUAUGGCAAUUUUAUAAUAUGAGAGGUUUUGUUAAAAAAACAAACAAAAUAAAACUAUUGCACCAAUGGGAGACCAGGUGCUCUAUGAUUCAAUGAGUAGAUGCUUUCAAAGGAGGUACUAUGUAUCUUUCUACUGUGCUUUUAGAAGCAUCUUACUGUGAUCUUAGCAUUCCAUACUGCUUAAUUGUGCUUAAUUAUCUUCUAUGUCUUCUGCCCUUAAAGAUAGAUAAGUGGCAGUUCUUCAGUUCUUAAAAUGGAGGAUGACACGUGCUAUUUCAUCUCAUUUACUCAAAGUGAAGAAGGGGGGAAAAAAAGUUGCUAUGGACUUUAAAUACCUGCCAGUGACAAAUUACUUCAGAAUCCCUUUGGAACUAUUAAUAGCCAGUGCUGCAACUUUAGUUCUUCCCAAGCGAGGGAAAACAUUUUAAAUGAACUAGUGCAGUGAGUGGUGAGAAACUCCUUGAUGCAUCUCAUGCAUUUUUCAUCAUUUCAUGCAAUUAUUUACCAAGAAAUAGUGUAACAGCAAAGACUCUCUUUCAGUUCCUUCAAUUCCACCUGAUUACACUUUAAAUUCCUAAUCAGUUCUUCUAAGUUACAUAUAUGUUACUGCUUUUCUGUAGGUUUUGAGCAUCUGAUCUGGAGAUUAGAAUUGUAAUAACAGUCACAGUACAAAGUCACCCUGGCUUCUCUGGAGUGAUGAGGGGGAAAUUUGUGCCCUCCCUCCUCAUUUGGCUCAAAACUGCUGUCAGAUAGAAGCUGAGUUUCAGAUUGCUGCAUGAAAGUUGUUUCACAGAAGUUGAGGAGUCCUGGACAAUCUUCCUCACUUUAUCUAGCAUUUUGCUCUUUUCAAAGUACAGUUUUCACUUGAGGCUACAGAGAAAACUGCAAAAGAAGCCAGAAUGAUUGUUGGCAAAACAAAAGCAUCAUUAGGACUGAUUCUCUCUGCCAGUCAACAGAUAUUGCUCUAGAUUGUCCCUGUAGGUUUGCUGCUGCUAGUUUUUUAUUAAAAAUAGUAAUAAUUUUCAGUCUGGUCCAUAUAGAUUGUCAGCAGUAAGUACACUUAAAGCAAAGAAUAUUGUCAGCAAAAUUCAUAUUAACAGGCAUAACUUCUGAAAGCAGAAUAGUCACGUCCUUGCUUAAAACCUUGCCAGUUAGUUAUACGAGGCAGCUGCCAUUACUAUGGUAUUUCAGAGCUCUUCCUGAGGCAAAAACUGCUGCAAGUGCAGUAGUAAUUUUAUUUAGUUAUGGACAGAAUUGGAAAAUGUUCAGUUGCAGCCAACAAAAAUUUUAGCUAAACGCUGAGAAAGCAUCAAGCUGGUUUACUGGCAUAUUCAGAAAGGUCAUGGAAAGUCACUUCCACAGGUGGUGUUUUUGUGAGGAGAACUAACUUCUAGAAAAGAGUGGAAGUGAUUAUUAGUAGGUGUUGUGUUGUAAGUGAAUGUCUCCUUUUUGUAUAAUUCUUGUGUGCAUUUCAGGAGCAGAACCAUUGAGACUGAUACCACAAUGGAAACGAGCCAUCUUGAAACACAGUUACGCCUUGUAAAAACUUAAUGAAACAUCAUGUCUGUCAGCAAACAUCCAUCCAAAACUACCACCCAAAUCAGCUGCCCUUCUUACUGCAAGAUGAGCUAUAUUUGCUAGGUACAUGUAAGAAGUGAUUUAUUACAUCAUCCUAUAUAACUUGUGGUAUCCAAGAUUUGUGCCCAAAGGCAAAAAAUACAAUAAAGGAUUAUCCACCUCAAGUCUUCUGGAACAGCAUCUGGCAGACUGCCGAGACUCUUUAGGGAAAAUGAGAAGAGAGCAAAUGACAAGAACAACCUAUGCUUAAGUCAAAGAUCCCACCCAACAUGUCUCACUGUUUGACUGUGACAGUUUCUUGUCCUCUGAGCAAUGAUCCUACUCUGUCCAGGAUUUCCUAGUGCUUGGAGGCUCAGUUUCUAGUUCUGCCUAUGCUCAGUUAGAAUUCAAAAGAGAUGCUUGUCCCAAAAAGCCUCAUAGCUGCACAUUCUAACAUGAUAAUAUUAAUUUUUAGUGGUCUGCAAAUUGAAUUCACCUGUCAGUGGAAAAACUAAUUUAGUUUUCUCAUUUAGUGUGCAAAAACUUGCAUCCACUGUUUUUCACCACCUCAAAAGGACUGAGGAUGAUAAAUUAAGCAGUACAGUUUAGCUUUGCAGGACCUACCUUAGGAAGUCCAUGUCUUUUUCCUCCAACAAAGCCUGAGAUCCUUCAGUCAAUCAACCCCAGCUACUUACUUUCAACUGCUGAGUGUCUAUACCCAGUAUCUUUUCUGCACAUUUUAAAAAAUAUGCUUAGCUCAGCAUAAUUUAUAUUUGUACCAUUGACAUGUUCUUUAAAGUGUAUUAAGGAAUCUGAGACACACUCAAGAAACAUAAUCUGCUUCAAACAUCUGGUGGGCUUGCACCUUUUUAGAGGAUGGAAAAAGGAUGGAGACAAAGGAGGUGUAGAAACAAAGGCAUUAAAGAGCAAAUGAAAAGCAGCACAGCAGGAAUCCUGGACCUGCUAAAGGGAAACCUGUAGGCUGUGUCCCUGCAGGAGGUACAACCACUUUUUUUUCAGAAGUGUAUGAAAGAAAAUACUGAGGGUUUGGGCUGUAGCAUGGCUCAAAGAUUUCUUAGACACUAACCUUUGCAUUCCUACUCAGUCAAAAUCUUGUCCCACAGUAAUAGCAUAAUUACCUACAGUUUUCCUGUGGAAGAAAGGAGUCUGGUGUGUACUUAGUUUCCAUUCUUCCAUUCUUACUUCUGUCCUCUGCCUUUUUUUCAGUUGAAUAUUUCCUGUUAUAGUCUCAACAGCAACAUUAUUGAAUGAUAAGUGACAUGGAAAAUAUCAACCAGCAUCAGAAAACUUUCAUUUACCUUGAUGAGCAUUUACUGUUAUAGAGCAUAGUCUAAGGAGAAGUUUCAAGAAUAUAAAGGGGAUCUACAAUGUUUAGUCAUGAAGUAGAACCAUCCAUUUUCAUUGCGCACUCAUAAUUAAUUUGAAACUGGAGUUUGUCUAUAUCAUUGAAAUAAGACAGAAAUAGCAUGGUGUGGAAGGUCUCUGUUGUACCAAAAGUUUUAAAUCCAAACCACAAAAAGUAGCAGGGAACAGUGAGGGAACAUUGCCUUGGAAAUCUGAUUCUCACAAUCAAGACCUCCCUGGAAAAUGCAAAGGUGAAAUCAGGUAGUAAGCAAUGUGUGGAAAUUUCUGUGAUCCUGGAGUUAUAUACUAAGUUUCAAGAACAGAAUUGAAAGAAGGUAGGUAUGGAAGGUAUGAUAGAAGUUAUAUUACAACAACAAUAUCCCCUGAGAUACACUUAAGGAGUAUACCAGACUCCUUCAUACACUGGUGGAAGUGCACUUUUUGGGAUGAUGGUAGAAUAAAUCUCAGAGUUGGGAACAAAGGAGCUAGAGGAACAAAGACACUAAAGAGCAGAGGUAUGAAGGGCAUGGUCCUCUCUUGAUAUCUGCUGAAGAGAGAGAGAUAUACUUCUAAACAGUGAUUCAACCCACCUAUCUUAAAUGCUUGUAUGAAGGAUUUAGUCAACUGUUGCAGCUGCUCAUCACCAUUGUCUAGAGAAAUUGGAAGAACAAGUUGAAAAAAUACAUCAAUUUUAGAUGGAAAAGUGUUAAAUAGUAAAAGGGGGAAAAAUAGUCCUGCACUAUACCCACCAUGUAUUUAGUCAGUUGGGUUUUUUUGAAGACAGGUAGUUUUUCAUUAUGAUCAGAUCAUGUGUUGCUUGGUAGAUUAAAUGCAGCAAGACUCCUCGUGUACUGCUAGAAAGCAUCCACUAGCAGCAGGAAAGUAAGAUGAAAGAAUUGGGAUGAAAGACUCUACAUGGAGAAAAAAAAAUAAAUUAAAAAUAUAAAUUAAUUUUUAAGAAAUGCCUUAGUUUUAAAGCAUGAUUUAUUUUUUCCCACAAGACAUCUAUAACAUAAUACCUAGUGUUUUCUUUAACAUUUAUUUCCAUUCAUUCUUUGAUUGUAAGGAUUCAUCUGUCAGCAGAUGCUCUCUUAACAAUGCAGAGGAUUUUGUAGUGACUGAUAUAUUUUUUGAUCGAUGUAUAUAAAGUGGGAAAAAUAAUACCAAAAUCUAGUUUAGAAUAUAAAAAAAUGCUGCAUCAGUUGUCUAGCCCAAUUUAGAUUCCUUUUAGUAUCUGAAUUUCCAGGUGGAAUGAUGAAUAUUGAGUCACAGUAGGAUAGUUCCUUUUAGUAAAGGCCCUGAAGCACAGAAAUACAUGAAACUAACAUUCAACCACUACACAAAAGUUCAGUGUGACAGAUGUUUUUUGUUCACCAUGCCUUUACUACUGAAUAAUAAAUAUAGGUCUAUUUCUGCAAGAUGUCUGCAAGAAAAAGAAAAAUGGAGAUACCAAAAGUCCUGCAAGAUUCAGUCUUCUGCAUGUCAUGUGUAUGAUUCCAUGUCUCUUGCAAACCUGAGGAAAUACUAGAACACAUGAAGUUUGUUCAAGCCAUAGAAAACUAAGAGGUGAAAUACUUCUUUAAAAGCCAAGAGGUUGUUUCAAAAAGAAAAUCAAUAAUCAGAAGUAAUUAUGGGUUAAUUUUAUGUUGGAUAUUAGGAAAAGAACAGCCUAUGCUAUGAUGAUAAUUAAAAAGUGGAAUAGGGUGCUCAGGGAGGAGCACAGUAAACACCCAUGGGGAGCACAAGGAGUUCCUGUGGAGGGUUUUCUUGUCUUAUUUUUAAAAAAUUGGUUAUGGAAGGUUCUUCCAAGAAUGGUUUGAAGACAGUUUGCCCCUUCUUUGUGCAAGCCAUUGAACUAGAUUGACCUCUUAAUGUCUUGUUGGGUUCUAUAUUCUGCAGCUUUUAGGAAAUAUAAAUUACUUGUUAGUAUAGAACCAAACAACUGCGUUAACCCAGGUGGCAGCUAACACAUACAUUAUUUCCAUGCUGAAUAGAUAACAUGUCAUUAAUGAGAGCACAGACAUAUAAAUUCAUGAUUGCAUAUAGAGAAAGUUGCAACUCCUGCUGUUUGUAAGGAAAUACUACUUUUAUCAGAAAUCAUCAAAAUUCCUCUGUGCAUUUUGAUUAAGAAAUACACCUUUGGGGUAGCAGACUUUUAGGAGCAACUCUUUUUACUUACUUGAAUGAAUACCCUCAUUUGUGCACCAGAGAAAUGCAUAUGGCUCUGAUAACUGGCUAAGCAGCAAACUCAGAAGUAAAGAGUCUUAGAGCUGACUGCCACCCAGACAAAAAGGUGCCGUGUGGUAUAUGGAUCCUGGGAUUGAUGGAAGUCUUACUUGGCUCCUAUGAUGUUGAAGAUCAUCAUCAUCAUCAUCAUCAUCAUGGCUAGGCUUCGCGAACGAAGAUUUGAGAAGGGCUCUACCCACGCUUGCUACAAGCGCGCUGAUGGCUAAAAAGGCCAAUGCGAGAUAGACAAGUCCGGUUGCAGAAGGCACAGCAGAAAGACUCCCCAGGUGAUACAGACGAGACGCGAUUCUUUCUGCAUUGUCUUUUCUCCUCGAGAGUGAUCCUGCGUGUGUUCUCAAAAGCAGCAGCAGCGUUAUAGAUGGUGUGUCUCCAGGCCUCCCGAUUGGAGGCCAGGGUAGACCAAUGGUGGUGAUCAAUAUGGCCAAGGAUGAGGGAUUGUUUCAGGUAGUCCUUGUAUCUCCUCUCUGGGCUCCUCUCCUGCGGCAGCCAGUGGCAAGUUCCCCAUAGAGCAUGAUCUUAGGGAGGUGGUAGUCCUGCAUCCUGGAGACGUGCCCUGCCCAGCACAGCUGUGUUCUCAGCAGCAUGGCCUCAAUGCUCAUGACUGCUGCCUGUUCAAGGACAGACGUGUUGGUCACACAGUCAGUCCAGUGGAUGUUUAGGAUUGUACGGAGGCAGUGCUGAUGGAAACGUUCUAAGAGAUGCAAGUGGUGCCGGUAAAUGACCCACGAUUCAGACCCAUAUAAAAGAGUAGACGGUACAAUGGCUCUGUAAACGCUGAUCUUUGUGCUUUUCUUCAGGUGUUUGUUUUGCCACACUCUUUUAUGGAGUUUACCGAAAGCUCUGUAUGCCUUUGCUAACCUGUUGUCUAUUUCUGCAUCAAUCUUAUCGUCUGAGGAGAUGAUGCUUCCCAGGUAAUUAAACUGCUGGAUUGAUUUGAGCUCUGUUUCACCAAUGGUGAUAUGGGGAUGAUGGGAGACUUCCUGAGGUGCAGGCUGAUAUAAAACUUCUGUCUUCUUCAAGCUGACUUCCAGUCCAAACAGCUCAGCAGCCUCUGCAAAGCAGGAUGUUAAACGCUGCAGAGCUACUUCUGUGUGGGCGAUGAGGGCAGCAUCAUCAGCGUAAAGCAGCUCACAGACAAGAUGAUUUAAGGUCUUAGUGUGGGCCUUCAGUCACCUUAGAUUGAAUAGGCUCCCAUCGGUAUGAUAUCGAAGGUAGACACCGUUUUCAUCAUCGAGGUCUGCCGUGGCCCAUUGGAGCAUCAUGCUGAAGAAGACUGUGAAUAAAGUUGAAGAUACACUUGUAACUAAGGCAUUGCAGAGCCUGGACAAUUAAUCUAUGUGUUUUCUUAUACUGCCCAGCCAGCAAGUAGACUAAGGGUACAAGAAGCUGGAAGGGGCCAUCACCAGGACAGCUGACCCCAAAAGACCAAAGGCAUAUUCCAGAUCACAUGGCAUCAUGCUCAACAAUGAAACUGGGUGGAGAUGGCUGGUAGAAGUGGAGGGGUGUGUCAGAGGGUGUGGGAUGAGCAUCCCAAUGUUUGAGACUGACUGUUUUAUCUCAACCCACAAGUUUCAUCUUUACUCUGAAUCUCUUCUCCAUCACAGUGAGGGUGUUAGUGAGUGGUUGUGUGGUGUUUAGCUGCCUGCUGGAUCAAACCAUGACAUAGGAAGACCAAGCAAAAGCCAUAGUUGUUUGGAGACAGAUUUGCUUUCCACCUUGCCAAGAUUUUACCCCAUAGUUGUCCAGUGUAUUCCUAAAUUUUGUCUUCAUCCUGUUUCCUGUAGUGUAUGAAAUCUAGUAUGUGAAAUUGUAAUAACAUGGUUUUGAUUUGCAGAGAAAAAUAAGAGAUAAAAUGGACUUUAUAUGAAGUUAGUUUGGAAAUAACCAUGACAACUUUUCCUCUCUAAAUAGUGUUUUUAUCAGACUUCAUGAUAAUUUAAAGAAAAUGAAAUUGCAUUUAUUAACAUUGCUGGGUUUUUUAUAUUAUGUCAGUUAAUAAUAAUUUUGUUUCCUUAUGUCUGUCAAAAAUUCCAUGUAGCACUGAAAGCAAAUGCCUCUUAAUCUGUGACACAAUCUCAUUUAUUUUAAUUACACAGAGUUCUCUGUAUCACUUGCCAGUGAGUCCAUAACUUUAUUAGGCUUGUUCUUCAGUAAGGCCCAGUAAGCACUCAUAGCAUGGUUAUGCAUGGAUAAUAAUAAUAAUAAUGGCCAGUCUUCGCGAGCGAAGAUCCGGGGAAGGUCUUUCCACCUUCCAGCCUGCGCAUUGGAUUUUUUAGGUGAGACACAGUGUGCGCGGAACUGAGCCCACCCUUUAAUCCUAAGGUUCAUCUGCCGGGGCCAAGCGAGCUUGGACAGUGGCAGCGAGGUCCUUAGGACGUAGGUGGGUUGCCUUUAAGGGCUAACGAGCCCCACCUGCCCGGGAGUGGCCCUGACCGGGAAUCGAACCCGGGUCUCCGCGGUGACAGCGGGGCGCCUUUACCCCCUAGACCACCAGGGGCUCCCUAUGCAUGGAUAUGUUCUCAAGAUUUGGCUUCAGUUCAGAAAGCAUUAAGACAGCACUGUGAAUGAGAGUUCUGAAAGUAUUCCUAACAUGGAUAUAGCUGAUAAUUUCUCAGUUUAAGAAAUUGUACUUCAUCAGCUAUUACCUUGUUUCACACAUCGAAAUGCCAAGGCUUUCAGUUCUGUCCCUCUCACUAAGAGUCAACAGAAAGUGGAGUGUCAAGUAGAGAAAGCAGGGUGUCAGCAGCUGGCAACACAAAGAAGUGCUAUUAGCCAAUGUGCAAAUGGGCAGUUGUUAAUGUUAGAGAUGCAGUGAAGCCCGAAGACUGACAGGAUUGCUGUGUUCUGCAGCAGAGAAAUGAAGAGGUAAGGUACCAGGCAUCAGUAGCCCUGUCUUCACAUCUUCAGAUAACAUCUCAGUUUUCUAAGAGCAAGAAUGUGUCAAUGGGGGAAUUUUCAUUUCAUCUUUCAAAUCCUGAUUUAGUAUGCACUAUAACUUGAAGAUAGACCCAAGAAGUUCUGUGAUGAAUUAUAAGCACAGAUACAGAGAUUUCGAGAAAUUUUCUCAGAUUUGGUCCAGACUGGAAAUCUGGUGUUCUCUCCUUUCACUUUAAUUAUAAAUAAAGAUUAUAUCAAGUUCUUCAUGAGAUGGUGACCUACUGUAUGCUUUGUGAGACCACUUUGUAACUCGGUGGUACGCUUCAACCACUUGAACAUCUCAGAAACUCUUCAGAUAUCAUUCUGUGUAAUUCUGCCUGAUUUUUAAUACCUUCCAGGACUUAUUGGACUGUGAGAAAGCACAGAAAUAACGACUCUUGUGGAAUAGUUCUCCUUCUCAUGUACUAAAGAGACCAAGUACAGCAAACUGAACACAUUAAUCAUCUGGAAAGGUAGGAAACAGAGCUUAACCCAGCACUGGAAAUUAUGAGAUCUGGGUCAUAUAACCCUUGACAAAUUGUGUUCUUGUUGACAAAAUAGAGACUUAACUGCUGUUUUCAGCAUAGUAAAACAGAAACAAGGGCAUACAGCUGAUCUAUCAUGUGCUUUCCAACCCUUAUUUUCCCAAAUGAUAAUCGGCUGAAAAGAUUUGAGUGUAUUUUCUAAAACAGAAAACUUCAGGCCCUUCCCCUUAGGAUAAUACAUAAAAUAUUAAGGUAUUUGGUUGGUGAAAGCAUACUGUAAGUAACCAGAGUAGGCUGUGGAAGGAUUAGCAAUAGGGGCUCCUUUGCAUUUCUGAGCACUUCGCCUUCUCUGAAGUCACAAUUUACCCAGGAAUCCCUGCAGACACCCUGCCUUGCCAGGAUGGAUCUGAGCAGGAAAGGAUUGGGCUGAAGCACUGGGACCAGAUGUGGGGCGUAGCCAUGGCACAGAGGUGUUGGCUGUGUAAAAACCAAAGAAAUGCAAUGGAGGUGUUAUGAGAGACAUGUAUCUCCUAGUAUCAUCCUGAGUGGCUGAAUGAAGUAUUAUGCUUCAAACCAAGAAAGUUUAGGCAUUAUUUUGCUUUGGUAAUUUGGUUGAUUUUCUUUAAUGCUCCAUUGUAAGUUGUGAUGACAACCUGAAAAUUGGAAGCCUUCAUACAAAUCCAAACUAAUAACCUGCUUACUCAAAAAAUGAAAAUUAUUAUGAUAUUAUAGAACCUCAGCAAUAGUUUGGAUUUGUUUAGAGGUACAGACUUGGGAACAGCACUAACUUACCAAAAUAAUUCCCAUAUCCCUUUCAGAAUAUAAACAAAGCAUGUUUCUAUACUGAUAAUGGAGUAGGCAGAUGAUCAACAGGGUUGGCACCUUUUAAAUAGAAUCACUAAUGCUUUUUGUGUUGCAGUGAUGUUGCAGCCUUAUUGGAAUUGCAAAGAAGAUGAAGAAGGGCAGGAGAGGUGAACAAAGUGAUAAAGGAUUUAAAAUGAUCUCUUUGUGCAAUAUGCAAACUCCUCUCUACUUUAGUGCAUUUGUUAGGUCUGGCUGAAUUAUUUGGGGUGAAUAUGUCACUACUUUUGAGGUUUUUCCAUCAAAGGGAUUACUUCAAGGUCUAUUUGAAAUUGAAUCAUACAUGAUAAAUACUUUAGUAAUCUUAUUUUGUAUUUACAAAUUAUAUUAAGUAACAACAAAUUGUUUGCAACCAGAUGUUCACUAGUUCCACCAAUCACAACAGUAGAGAAAAAGUGUCUACAAAAUAAUAAAAACUCAAAAUGUAUAAAAAACCCCCAGCCCUUUUAAAAACAUACUUUUAAUUUUAGAAAGCAUCUAUAAAUGAAUUGGCAAUAAGAAUUUUUUUAAGUGCCUUUCAGUGAAUGUAGGAGAUGAGGUAAACAUGGUGAAGGUUUAUUUGGAACUCCCUCUCUUCAUAGUUAAUUCAGGAUUCAAGAAUAAAAUUUUCUUUUGAUUGUACAGAUUGCAUAGCAAAGAAUGUACAGACAGAAUUUGGAGCUGAAUUUCAAGUGGUCUAUGGGAGGGACAAUUUCUAGGGCUUUGAAACUGGUAUGAUUACACAGAAGUUAUAGCUAAAGGAGAAAGGAUUAUUCUUCUAUGGGUGAUUUGAAUCCAGAAGGCCAGACAGAAACAGAGCACUGGUACCUAGUUGUCCCUUAUCUCUUUUCUUCAAACGUGUGAGCUGCAUGCAUUACAGUCCUGCCACAAUUUGUCUUCUACAGGAACCAUAGAGAAUGAAUAUUCUGCUUAACAUCAGUUUCUCUGAAGUAUUCUGAAAGAGGGGAAUGGGAAUCCACAUAGGUCCAAAAUUUGGAGACCUUUCAACUUACAGCCUUGAUUAUUUGCAGGUAAAACCCUUCUGCAGCCUACACAAGCUGAAAUAAAUUUAAGUACCCUUAAUUGUGCAGUCUGCAACUUUCAUUCUGCAGGUGGAUAUGGAUUCAGAAUCCUCGAUGAUGCUAAAUGUAUAACUAAACAUCUAUAUUUGCUCUUAUUUCAUGGAAAUAUCAGUAUCCUAAGAAAGAAUUUACUGAUAACAAAGGAACUGAAACAUUUUGCACUUCAGCAAUGAUGUUGACUCUGUAGUAACAUGAACUGUAAAAGUGGGUACCCUAAAGGUACAAAAAGAGGUCCUUGACUAAAUCCAGAACACUGAUUUGUUAACUGGAAUGACAGCGUUUCAUAAAAUUAAUCUUCAUUACUAUGAUUCCUCUUUGAAAUAGAUGGAACUGUUGAGUUAUUUUGAUUCUUUUACUGAAAAGAUGAUCAGAAUUUGACAGAACAAUCCUAAUUAUUUAGAACUCUCCGAAUUUUUAUUUAUUACUUGUUGUGAGAGACUGAAAUUGUUAAAUGGCUCAAACAUUGUUAAGAUCACUGAAAGAGUUUUAUCCACUGUAGCAAACUGUGCAAAGAAGCAACUGCUCAUGGAAGUCCACCCCCCUCCAGAUAUGCCUACUAAUUUGGACUGUGAUGGGAACUUGAGAAGAGAUAAAGUAGUCCAAUUAUCCCAGGAGAAGAAUGUAUCCACAAGUGUGAAAGAGUGGAAUGUUGAUGGCUCAGACUUCCGUCACCACACAGGCUUCUUCCCUCAGCACCCUGGACUUCCCUUGACAGAUCCAGACCACAACCAUCACAUCAAUAAGACUGGGACUCUCACACUGAGAAAGCCACACAAAGAGGAUCAACGGGAUGCUGUAGGAAUCCAUGGAAAGCUGUGAAUGGCAACUAAACCUUAACUGAGUAGCUGGUCUUGACCAGUACAGUGAAUGACAAAAACCUGGGUUCUUCCAAGAUGUUGCUUCAGCUCCUUCUCUCAUGGACCUACAGCAAGGAGAUGUAAACACCUCCCAGAAUGAAAAAAG